CCUACGGGUGGCAGCAGUGGGGGAUAUUGCACAAUGGGGGGAACCCUGAUGCAGCGACGCCGCGUGGGUGAAGAAGCGCCUCGGCGCGUAAAGCCCUGUCAGCAGGGAAGAAAAUGACGGUACCUGAAGAAGAAGCAUCGGCUAACUCCGUGCCAGCAGCCGCGGUAAUACGGAGGAUGCGAGCGUUAUCCGGAUUUAUUGGGUUUAAAGGGUGCGCAGGCGGCCUGUUAAGUCAGCGGUAAAAGCCCGGGGCUCAACCCCGGCGAGCCGUUGAAACUGGCGGGCUGGAGUUGGAGAGAAGUACGCGGAAUGCGCGGUGUAGCGGUGAAAUGCUUAGAUAUCGCGCAGAACCCCGAUUGCGAAGGCAGCGUACCGGCUCCACACUGACGCUGAGGCACGAAAGCGUGGGUAUCGAACAGGAUUAGAUACCCCAGUAGUC
rnacentral:rRNA from 1 species